rnacentral:lncRNA from 1 species
UACCAUUGGAUCCAUUAGAACAUCAUCAGCCAUUAUUUACUCUUUCUUGAAUGAUAUAUUUAAGCAAAGUCAAAUGAUAGUUUAUUGAUAAUUUGUCCAUUACAUUUCUCUCUGCACGCAUUGCUGCUCUUUUGGUUAAUAUCCCCAUACUGGUGGAAUGAUACUUGUAGGAUCAUUCGAAACCUCAGAUCAUCCAUCAAGUCCUUCCCACCUCUGGAUGACUAGUGCAUUUAUCUUCUUGCCUUUGGCAUCAUUGGAUCCGUUAGAGCAGCAUGAACCAUGAUAUGUUGUAUCUUGGUUCAUUUACUUAAGCAAAGUAGAAUUCUACUUCAUUGAUAAUUUGUCUGUUACAUUGUUGUCGAGAUAAUUUUGCUUGUAGAAACAUUGGAAAGCCUCUGAUCUAGUUAACCAAGUUCUGCGCCAGAGCAUUGCUUAUCUACCUUUUCGUUUUCUGAUUUUUCUUUUUUGCAUUUUUUUUAUAAACAAAUGUGAUAAUCAUCAACAAAUGUUUUAGCAAUGGAUAAGCAAAGCUCGCAGCACAGGAAAACCUUCUGGCAUUGCUAAAUUGAAUCAACUUUAAUAGCAUUUAGCCUCCAGUUGGAUAGAGUAACGAGGCAAAUCAGCUAGUUCUGUCCUAUUAUACCUUCUCCACUCAAAUUUUUCGUUGCAGGAGCCAAACCUUGCUAAAUUGAAUCAACUUUAAUAGCAUUUAGCCUCCAGUUGGAUAGAGUAACGAGGCAAAUCAGCUAGUUCUGUCCUAUUAUACCUUCUCCACUCAAA